AACAAAAUUUAAAAUGUGUUAAGAAAAAUCAAUGAAUUGUCUGUAAUUGUAUUUUUCAAUACAAAAAAUAUAACGGUGUUAAAUGUGAAGAUUUCUCAUUUCAAUGAAAAUAAUUAUUAAGUACAAAUGAUUAAGUUUUUAUGUCAUACCUUCAUAUGACUACCAUUACUAUUUUUGACAAGUAAAUCACAUAUUAAUAAAUCGUGGAUUAAUGUACUGAUGUAUUUUUUAUUCGUUCUAUGCCAUUCUGUUGCUUCACAAAUUACAGGUUUUAGUCUUUUAUUCUAUAAUAUAUAAGCCAAAGACUUUUCAAAGCUUUAAAUGCUAAGUAUUUAAGUUACCAAUAUUUAUAAAUAACAUAUCUGUUAGAUUUAUUACAAUCUGAUCAAAUUCAAUCGAUCAAAAAUUAUGGAUUUUGGCAUCUAUAAAACAAUUGAAGUUGGAGUGUGAUUGACAGCUGUUUGUUUAGCAAACAAACAAGAAGGGGCUAAGUUCGCUGCCACCAAACAUUUUAUACUCUCGCAAGUUCAACAACUACUCACUUGCUGAUGUGUGGAUUGAUGUACUGGUGUUAGUGGUGGCGGUUGUGAAUUCAGAACCGCGUUAGGUGGUUGGACUGCUAAGUAAAUUUUCGUUGGUCCUAAGACGCCCUGUUUUCCGCUGGAUUCUUGCGCUAUAAAUACGAAAUAUAUUUAGUGUUAAUAAGAAGUAGAAUAUAGAAAAUAGCAAAAAAAAA
rnacentral:lncRNA from 1 species